AUUACGUUGCAUCUUUGAGUAUUCCUCUCUUCCUCUUUCUCUUUCUUUUCUUUCUUCUUUUUCUUCUUCUACCUCCUCUUUC
rnacentral:ribozyme from 12 species